rnacentral:rRNA from 1 species
UGGGGAAUUUUGGACAAUGGGCGAAAGCCUGAUCCAGCCAUGCCGCGUGCAGGAUGAAGGCCUUCGGGUUGUAAACUGCUUUUGUACGGAACGAAAAGACUCUGGUCAAUACCUGGGGUCCAUGACGGUACCGUAAGAAUAAGCACCGGCUAACUACGUGC